rnacentral:rRNA from 1 species
GUUAGGGCACGACACCGGAGAGGGAGCCUGAGAAACGGCUACCACAUCCAAGGAAGGCAGCAGGCGCGCAAAUUACCCAAUCCCGACACGGGGAGGUAGUGACAAUAAAUAACAAUACAGGGUUCUUUUGGAUCUUGUAAUUGGAAUGAGUACAAUUUAAAUCUCUUAACGAGGAACAAUUGGAGGGCAAGUCUGGUGCCAGCAGCCGCGGUAAUUCCAGCUCCAAUAGCGUAUAUUAAAGUUGUUGCAGUUAAAAAGCUCGUAGUUGAAUUUCGGGAUCAAUAUUUCGGUCAUGCCGUUGGUAUGCACUGUUAUCAUUGAUUUCUCACCUUCUAAAGAACCGUAAUGCCAUUAAUUUGGUGUUACGGGGAAUUAGGACUGUUACCUUGAAAAAAUUAGAGUGUUUAAAGCAGGCUCACGCUUGAAUACAUUAGCAUGGAAUAAUGAAAUAGGACAUCCGAUUCUAUUUUGUUGGUUUCUAGGAUCGAUGUAAUGAUUAAUAGGGAUAGUUGGGGGCAUUAGUAUUCAAUUGUCAGAGGUGAAAUUCUUGGAUUUAUUGAAGACUAACUACUGCGAAAGCAUUUGCCAAGGAUGUUUUCAUUAAUCAAGAACGAAAGUUAGGGGAUCGAAGACGAUCAGAUACCGUCGUAGUCUUAACCAUAAACUAUGCCGACUAGGGAUCGGAUGAUGUUAAUUUUUUAAUGACUCAUUCGGCGCCCUUACGGGAA